GGAUCCAGACUUUGAUCCUGGCUCAGGAUGAACGCUAGCUACAGGCUUAACACAUGCAAGUCGAGGGGCAGCGGGAUUGAAGCUUGCUUCAAUUGCCGGCGACCGGCGCACGGGUGAGUAACGCGUAUCCAACCUUCCGUACACUCAGGGAUAGCCUUUCGAAAGAAAGAUUAAUACCUGAUGGUAUGAUGAGAUUGCAUGAUAGCAUCAUUAAAGAUUUAUCGGUGUACGAUGGGGAUGCGUUCCAUUAGGUAGUAGGCGGGGUAACGGCCCACCUAGCCGACGAUGGAUAGGGGUUCUGAGAGGAAGGUCCCCCACAUUGGAACUGAGACACGGUCCAAACUCCUACGGGAGGCAGCAGUGAGGAAUAUUGGUCAAUGGACGAGAGUCUGAACCAGCCAAGUAGCGUGAAGGAUGAAGGUCCUACGGAUUGUAAACUUCUUUUAUAAGGGAAUAAACCCUUCCACGUGUGGGAGCUUGUAUGUACCUUAUGAAUAAGCAUCGGCUAACUCCGUGCCAGCAGCCGCGGUAAUACGGAGGAUGCGAGCGUUAUCCGGAUUUAUUGGGUUUAAAGGGAGCGCAGACGGGUCGUUAAGUCAGCUGUGAAAGUUUGGGGCUCAACCUUAAAAUUGCAGUUGAUACUGGCGUCCUUGAGUGCGGUUGAGGUGUGCGGAAUUCGUGGUGUAGCGGUGAAAUGCUUAGAUAUCACGAAGAACUCCGAUUGCGAAGGCAGCACACUAAGCCGUAACUGACGUUCAUGCUCGAAAGUGUGGGUAUCAAACAGGAUUAGAUACCCUGGUAGUCCACACGGUAAACGAUGGAUACUCGCUGUUGGCGAUAUACUGUCAGCGGCUUAGCGAAAGCGUUAAGUAUCCCACCUGGGGAGUACGCCGGCAACGGUGCAACUCAAAUGAAUUGACGG
rnacentral:rRNA from 1 species